ensembl:lncRNA
CAUAGCAUUUCUCUGUUUAGUAGGGAGAUCAGCUUCAGAGUUCUCUUGUUUCUAACCAGUGACUCUGGACAGAGAUGUUGAGCUUUUAGUCUGAGCUGAUGCGGUAAUGGACAUGCAUAGAUCAUUACUGUCUUGGGAGCUGAAGAUCUGAGGGGGCAAAACAUAAUUCCUUACUUCUUAUAUACCACCAUACACCGUUUAAGAUGAGGGAGUCCGAUUUUUUUUUUUUAUGAGCAUGGCCUUAUUUCUGUUACAGCAUAUUGGAUGACUGUCAUUAAUAUUUCAUUCACCCAGCUCAAUGCAGCAUCGAUAGGUUUAGGCUACUUCAUGAUGCUCAAAUUUUUCCUAUACCCAUCAGGAGGUUGCUACAACCUAGCCUAUGAAUGAAAGUUUACAACGCAGGUGCACAGGUCAAAAGAAAUGUGUGUAAUCAAGGUGACAGACAUUGACACAUUCAAUACCUUCUUGCACACUCUUGCCUGCAUCUAGCUAAUCAUUAGUCCAAAAGAUGCAAACAAGUGUUUCUAAUUGGACAAAUUCAGGUAUGUUUAUCCCCGUUUUGUUCCGUUUGCUUCCGUUUAAGAAAGGUUUUUCAACAGAAGCAGCGGAAUGAAUACACCCCGUUGUGUAACUCCUUCUGGCAUCUACACACUCUUCCUCUCACCCUUUCCCUUCACUUGUGGACUUCAUUGCACAACACAUCAGCUGUCUGUGACCAGGUGAAAAAAAAUAAAUUGUUCAAAACUGUUCAACUACCAUCUUUCUCUUUUAGUCGACUACUCGCCACAUUUUGGGGGGGCUCCCAAGUGGCGCAGUGAUCUAAGGCACUGCAUCUCAGUGCUAGAGGCAUCACUACAGACCCUCAAUUCCAGGCUGUAUCACAACCAGACGUGAUUGGGAGUCUCAUAGGGUGGCACACAAUUGGCCCAGCAUCACCAGGUUACGGUUUGGCAUCAUUGUAAAUAUGAAUUUGUUCUGAACUGACUUGUGUAGUUAAAUAAAAAAAAUAAAACAAUUGCAGUGCUAGCUAGCAGUAUAUUUUGCUUUCAGUACUAGAUUCAUUC